GAUGAACGCUGGCGGCGUGCCUAAUACAUGCAAGUCGAGCGAACAGACGAGGAGCUUGCUCCUCUGACGUUAGCGGCGGACGGGUGAGUAACACGUGGAUAACCUACCUAUAAGACUGGGAUAACUUCGGGAGACCGGAGCUAAUACCGGAUAAUAUAUUGAACCGCAUGGUUCAAUAGUGAAAGACGGUUUUGCUGUCACUUAUAGAUGGAUCCGCGCCGCAUUAGCUAGUUGGUAAGGUAACGGCUUACCAAGGCAACGAUGCGUAGCCGACCUGAGAGGGUGAUCGGCCACACUGGAACUGAGACACGGUCCAGACUCCUACGGGAGGCAGCAGUAGGGAAUCUUCCGCAAAGGGCGAAAGCCUGACGGAGCAACGCCGCGUGAGUGAUGAAGGUCUUCGGAUCGUAAAACUCUGUUAUUAGGGAAGAACAAAUGUGUAAGUAACUAUGCACGUCUUGACGGUACCUAAUCAGAAAGCCACGGCUAACUACGUG
rnacentral:rRNA from 1 species